UACAGAGGCCUCGAGCGUUAGGCGGAAUCACUGGGCUUAAAGCGUGUGUAGGCGGACGGGUAAGUACCUUGUGAAAUCCCACGGCUCAACCGUGGAACCGCUUGGUAUACUGCUUGUCUUGAGCCACUUUAGGGGUUACCGGAACAAAUGGUGGAGCGGUGAAAUGCGUAGAUAUCUGGAGGAACACCGGUGGCGAAGGCGGCAUCCUGGACCGGCAUUGACGCUGAGGCGCGAAAAGCGUGGGGGAGCGAACAGG
rnacentral:rRNA from 1 species